rnacentral:lncRNA from 1 species
CCUGUCUUUGUGAUUGUCUCCACCCCCUCCAUGUGUCGCCCAUCUUCCCUAUUAUCCCCUGUGUAUUUAUACCUGUGUUCUCUGUUUGUCUGUUGCCAGUUUGUCUUGUUUGUCAAGCUUACCAGCGUUUGUCCUGUCAGCUCCUGUCUUUUCCCAGCCUCUCUUUUUCUCGCCCUCCUGGUUUUUGACCCUUGCCUGUCCGGACCCUGAACCCGCCCGCCUGACCACUCUGCCUGCCCCUGAGCCUGCCUGCCGUCCUGUACCUUUGCCCCUAUCUGGAUUACUGACCUCUGCCUGACCUGAGCCUGCCUGCCUGCCGUCCUGUACCUUUGCCUCAGUUGCUGUAAUAAACAUUGUUACUUUGACACGGUCUGCAUCUGGGUCUUGCCUUAUCCUGAUAAGAAUAUGCAGGCUAUAAGAAUAUGUUGAAGGCUAGCUCUAUUGGGUGCAGAUGACUGAACUACUCACUUUUGUGUCAGUCUGCAGAUAAACAGACGAGGAGCCAUACAAAAGUAUGUCUAUUGGUAUUUUAUGCUGAUCACAUUUACCAUCCUCCUCCCUUACCUCUUCAAUGAAUAUCCCAUAGGCCUCUACAUUAUGGACAAGGUAUGUGUAUGAAAUGUAUGAAAUGUAUCACAAAAACCAAGGUAUGAAUACUGUCAUGUGCAUGUUUUGUUAAUCAUCUGUAUAUUGAAAAUGUUUUGGAGUCACAGACUUCACCCUCCCUAUAUCUCUGAACAUAACAGGAAACAUGUUCGAUCACCAUGCACUACAAAAUCACUCUAGCUAUGGAUACGGAGAACAUCAACACGCCAGAGGAUAUACCCAUUAUACUUGGGUCUCUGCUGGGAGUUUACCUCAAAUUUGGAUUUUUUUAUUCUGCUUUGCCACUAAAAUCAUAAACACUGACACCUAAAAUAUUGUGUUAUUGUUGUUGUUGUUAUGCGUAUUAAUAAUAAUGGGGGGGGGGGGGGGGGGUUGAAAAACUUACCCCAAAAGGUUCUUCAAAAGGUUCUUCGUGGAAUCAUUAACCUCUUACAUCUAGACGUUCCGCUAGCGGAACACCUGCUCCAAUAUCCAAUGAUAGGCGUGGCGCGAAUUACAAAUUCCUCAAAAAUACAAAAACUUCAAUUUUUCAAACAUAUGACUAUUUCACAGCAUUUUAAAGACAAGACUCUCCUUUAUCUAAC